rnacentral:rRNA from 1 species
AAUCGGACAUAGUACGAUAAGGUUGUAUGUCUAAAGGGAAACAGCCCAGAACAAGAGUAAUAAGGUUCCUAAAUUAUUAUUAAGUGAAAUAAAGGAUAUAAAUAUAUAAUACAACCAGGAAAUAGGCUUAGAAGCGGUCAUUUUUUAAAGAUCUCGUAAUAGAGCACUGGUUAAUUUAUUCUUUAAUAUAUAGAUACCUAAAAUUUAACGGAUCUAAAUAAUAUACCGAUACCUUGUACAUAUUUAAAUUAAUUUAAAUAUGAGAUAGCGGAACAUUGGAUAAAAUAGUAGAGAUAAAAAUAAAUUAUAUUAUAUUUAAUUAAUCUAAGAAUCCAAGAGAGAAUGCUGACAUGAGUAACGAAAAAGGAUUAUAAAUAAUAUCCUCGCCUUAAGCUUAUGGUAUUUGA